UACAUGGGGUGCAAACGUUGCUCGGAAUUAUUGGGCGUAAAGCGCACGUAGGCGGUUCGUUAAGUCGGAUGUGAAAGCCCUCGGCUCAACUGAGGAAGUGCACCCGAAACUGGCGAGCUUGAGUACGAAAGAGGAUCGCGGAAUUCCCGGUGUAGAGGUGAAAUUCGUAGAUAUCGGGAGGAACACCGGUGGCGAAGGCGAGCUACUGGACAACAUCUGACGCUGAGGCUCGAAGGCUAGGGGAGCAAAAGGG
rnacentral:rRNA from 1 species